rnacentral:tRNA from 1 species
GGGGAUGUAGCUCAGAGGUAGAGUGCUCACCUAGCAUGUGUGAGAUACUGGGUUUGAUCCUCAGCACCA